rnacentral:rRNA from 1 species
ACCUGAUUGAUCUUGUCAGUUGUAUAUGCUUCUCUUAAAGAUUAAACCAUGCAAAUCUAAGUAAAUUGGAUUUUAAAAUAGAAACGGUAGAGAGCUCAUUAAAACAGUUUGAAAGAAUAGGAAUAACUUUGUAAGUCUUCGGAUUUAUAAAACAGGAUAUUCCAUCGAAUUGAUGAAUUAAUACGUUGUAGCAAGAACUCGAAAGAUCGCAGGUAUUUACGGAUAACGAAAGAUUAGAGUUUGAUUUCGGAGAGGUGGCCUGAGACACUGCCACCACUUCUAAGGAAGGCAGCAGGUGCGAAAAUUACUCAAUGACACAUCGUCGAAGUAGUGACGAGAAAUACCAGAAUUGGGCCCGUAUGGGACAGUGUCUGGGAUGAUUACAAUUUAAAAACCUUAAAUAGAAACCAUUAGAGGGCAAGUCUGGUGCCAGCAGCCGCGGUAAUUCCAGCUCUAAGAGUGUAUCUGAAAGUUGUUGCAGUUAAAACGUUCGUAGCUAAUAUUAAUAAAGUUAGCUUUUCAAACGAUCAGAAAUGAAAGGAUGAAAUUUAGACUUUAUAAAGCUGCUAAUAAUUUGCAAGUGUCUUGGAAACUCGAUAACUGCCUGCUAUGCCUUAAAAACAUAGUAGUUUAUUAGCAAGGAUUAACUUUGAAUAAAUUUGGGUGUUCAAAACAAGCUAUAAAGCUUUGAAAACAUUAGCAUGGUAUUACAAAAUACGAUAGUUUCGGCAUUAACUCAAGGCCUCAAAACCUUGUGUCGGACUAUAAUGAAAAAAGAGAGUUGUUGGGGUCACCUUUAUUCUUUGGGGAAGGGUGAAAUCUUAUGAUCCAAAGAAGAAACACUAAGGCGAAAGCACCUAGACCAGGAUGUUUUUGUCAGUCAAGAUCGAAAGUAGAGGGCGCGAAGAUGAUUAGAUACCGUCGUAGUCUCUACAGUAAACUAUGUUGAUUUAGGAUGAUAGAUCAUUUUUUUAUGAUCUCUAUUGAACUAUACGAGAAAUCCAGAAUAUUCGAACUCUGGGGGUAGUAUGGUCGCAAGGCUGAAACUUAAAAGAAUUGACGGAAGAGCACCACCAGGCGUG